UGCGGAUGACAGUGAUGAAAGCCAGGGGGAGAAGAGAGAGUUGGAUGAAAGGGAUUUGCUGGGGCAAAAGGGUAAACUGGACGGACUGGUGGACGAUCUAGAACAGAAGCGUGAAAUGGGCUUUGCAGAUGACAGUGAUGAAAGCCAGGGGGAGAAGAGAGAGUUGGCGGGGAGUGAGAACAAAGGCCUACAAGGAAAGCGCUGGCUUGGAUGCAGACACGGUUACAGAUCCACCACCUGCUACUAUACUGAAUCUUGCCAGCAUUAUUAUUACCGCCGCUGCACCGGCAACAGUAUUCCUUAUUGCUCAAAUCAAUUGCGUUUGCGCUGUUUAAUGGGUAA